rnacentral:lncRNA from 1 species
UUCUAAAUUGACUCAGCCACUUGUAUUGGACCCAAUUAUGUAAUCACUCAUCCAAGCUGGUGACUUGGUGCGUCUGCUCGGUCUGGGGCCGUUGUUUGAACCGGCUGGUUCUUCCCCUAACGUUCUUGGGUCGUCUUCCCCCUUUCCGGCUGGAAUUAGGUCGUCGUCUUCCUCUGCUUCCGUCUGUCUGUAUAAGUCGACGAUGGCCUGGACAUCUUCUUUAACGGCGAGAUACCCCAGCGGCUUCG